UACGUAGGUGGCAAGCGUUGUCCGGAUUUAUUGGGUUUAAAGGGUGCGUAGGCGGCUUUAUAAGUCAGUGCUGAAAUAUCCCGGCUUAACCGGGAGGGUGGCAUUGAUACUGCAGAGCUUGAGUGAAGUCGAGGUAGGCGGAAUUGACGGUGUAGCGGUGAAAUGCUUAGAUAUCGUCAAGAACACCGAUAGUGAAGACAGCUUACUAGACUUCAACUGACGCUGAGGCACGAAAAGUGUGGGGAUCAAACAGG
rnacentral:rRNA from 1 species